GUGCCAGCCGCCGCGGUAAUACGUAGGGUGCAAGCGUUAAUCGGAAUUACUGGGCGUAAAGCGUGCGCAGGCGGUGAUGUAAGACAGAUGUGAAAUCCCCGGGCUCAACCUGGGAACUGCAUUUGUGACUGCAUCGCUGGAGUGCGGCAGAGGGGGAUGGAAUUCCGCGUGUAGCAGUGAAAUGCGUAGAUAUGCGGAGGACACCGAUGGCGAAGGCAAUCCCCUGGGCCUGCACUGACGCUCAUGCACGAAAGCGUGGGGAGCAA
rnacentral:rRNA from 1 species